AUUGAACGCUGGCGGCAUGCUUUACACAUGCGAGUCGAACGGUAACAGGCCGCAAGGUGCUGACGAGUGGCGAACGGGUGAGUAAUGCAUCGGAACGUGCCCAGUCGUGGGGGAUAACUACUCGAAAGAGUAGCUAAUACCACAUACGAUCUAUGGAUGAAAGCGGGGGACCGUAAGGCCUCGCGCGAUUGGAGCGGCCGAUGUCAGAUUAGGUAGUUGGUGGGGUAAAGGCUCACCAAGCCAACGAUCUGUAGCUGGUCUGAGAGGACGACCAGCCACACUGGGACUGAGACACGGCCCAGACUCCUACGGGAGGCAGCAGUGGGGAAUUUUGGACAAUGGGCGCAAGCCUGAUCCAGCAAUGCCGCGUGCAGGAAGAAGGCCUUCGGGUUGUAAACUGCUUUUGUACGGAACGAAACGGCUCUGGUUAAUACCCGGGGCUAAUGACGGUACCGUAAGAAUAAGCACCGGCUAACUACGUG
rnacentral:rRNA from 1 species